GACGAACGCUGGCGGCGUGCCUAACACAUGCAAGUCGAACGGAGCUAAUUAGAGGAAGUUUUCGGAUGGAAUUUGGUUAGCUUAGUGGCGGACGGGUGAGUAACGCGUGAGCAACCUGCCUUUCAGAGGGGGAUAACGUCUUGAAAAGGACGCUAAUACCGCAUAACAUUAACUUCCCGCAUGGGGGGAUAAUCAAAGGAGCAAUCCGCUGAAAGAUGGGCUCGCGUCCGAUUAGCCAGUUGGCGGGGUAGAGGCCCACCAAAGCGACGAUCGGUAGCCGGACUGAGAGGUUGAACGGCCACAUUGGGACUGAGACACGGCCCAGACUCCUACGGGAGGCAGCAGUGGGGGAUAUUGCACAAUGGGGGAAACCCUGAUGCAGCAACGCCGCGUGUGGGAAGAC
rnacentral:rRNA from 1 species